AAAGUCGUAACAAGGUUUCCGUAGGUGAACCUGCGGAAGGAUCAUUCAUAAUAAGUGUUCUACUGCACUUUUUAAAAAUAGUACUCACCUUGUGUGCAAUGUUGUGUUUCUUUUCGGAGAAACACCUACACCAACCUAUAACCUUGAACCACUUUGUCUGAAAAACUAUUAUGAAUACUUAAUUCAAAAUACAACUUUCAACAACGGAUCUCUUGGCUCUC
rnacentral:misc_RNA from 1 species